UACGUAGGAUGCAAGCGUUGUCCGGAAUUACUGGGCGUAAAGGGCUCGUAGGCGCCAACUAAGUCAGACGUGAAAUCCCUCGGCUUAACCGGGGGAACUGCGUCUGAUACUGGAUGGCUUGAAUUCGGGGAGAGGGAUGCGGAAUUCCAGGUGUAGCGGUGAAAUGCGUAGAUAUCAGGAAGAACACCCGUGGCGAAAGCG
rnacentral:rRNA from 1 species